CUACGGGGUGCAGCAGUGGGGAAUAUUGCACAAUGGAGGAAACUCUGAUGCAGCAACGCCGCGUGGAGGAUGACACUUUUCGGAGCGUAAACUCCUUUUAUAUAGGAAGAAGAUGACGGUACUAUAUGAAUAAGCGCCGGCUAACUCCGUGCCAGCAGCCGCGGUAAUACGGAGGCGCAAGCGUUACUCGGAAUCACUGGGCGUAAAGAGCGUGUAGGCGGAUUAAAAAGUCAGAAGUGAAAUCCUAUAGCUUAACUAUAGAACUGCUUCUGAAACUCUUAAUCUAGAAUAUGGGAGAGGUAGAUGGAAUUUCUGGUGUAGGGGUAAAAUCCGUAGAGAUCAGAAGGAAUACCGAUUGCGAAGGCGAUCUACUAGAACAUUAUUGACGCUGAGACGCGAAAGCGUGGGGAGCAAACAGGAUUAGAUACCCGGGUAGUC
rnacentral:rRNA from 1 species